UUGUGCAGACAGGCUAAAAAUAUAAUCACAACUUUCAACAAUGGAUCUCUCGGUUCUCGCAUCGAUGAAGAACGCAGCGAAUUGCGAUAUGUAAUGUGAAUUGCAGAAUUCAGUGAAUCAUCGAAUCUUUGAACGCAUCUUGCACCCCUUGGUAUUCCAGGGGGUAUGCCUGUUUGAGUGUCAUUUUUCAAUCUCAAUGCAAUGGAAGCGUCCGCUCGGUGUUUCCUUGCAUUGGACGAUGAAGGCUGCUGGGCACCACCAGCUUCUUUGAAAUGCAUUAGCAGUAAAUAAGCAGAGUCGGCUUCGGUUUGAUAUGAAUCUAUGCUGUUGCCGAGGAGCUUUCUUGUUCUGCUGGCUUGUCUUUAUAUGGGACUGUCCAUCCUGUGG
rnacentral:rRNA from 1 species